CCUACGGGAGGCCAGCAGUGGGGGAAUAUGUGACCAAUGGGCGAAGCCUUGAUCCAGCCCAUACCGCGUUGGGUGAAGAAGGCUUUCGGGGUUGUAAAGCCUUUUGUUGGGGAAAGAAAUCCAGCUGGCUAAUACCCGGUGGGGAUGACGGUACCCAAAGAAUAAGCACCGGCUAACUUCGUGCCAGCAGCCGCGGUAAUACGAAGGGUGCAAGCGUUACUCGGAAUUACUGGGCGUAAAGCGUGCGUAGGUGGUCGUUAAGUCCGUUUGUGAAAGCCCUGGGCUCAACCUAGGAACUGCAGUGGAUACUGGGCGACUAGAAUGUGGUAGAGGGUAGCGGAAUUCCUGGUGUAGCAGUGAAAUGCGUAGAGAUCAGGAGGAACAUCCAUGGCGAAGGCAGCUACCUGGACCAACAUUGACACUGAGGCACGUAAGCGUGGGGAGCAAACAGGAUUAGAUACCCUGGUAGUCCACGCCCUAAACGAUGCGAACUGGAUGUUGGGUGCAAUUUGGCACGCAGUAUCGAAGCUAACGCGUUAAGUUCGCCGCCUGGGGAGUACGGUCGCAAGACUGAAACUCAAAGGAAUUGACGGGG
rnacentral:rRNA from 1 species